UACGUAGGGUGCAAGCGUUGUCCGGAAUUAUUGGGCGUAAAGAGCUCGUAGGCGGUUUGUCGCGUCUGCUGUGAAAACUCAGGGCUUAACCCUGAGCCUGCAGUGGGUACGGGCAGACUAGAGUGUGGUAGGGGAGAUCGGAAUUCCUGGUGUAGCGGUGGAAUGCGCAGAUAUCAGGAGGAACACCGAUGGCGAAGGCAGGUCUCUGGGCAUUAACUGACGCUGAGGAGCGAAAGCAUGGGGAGCGAACAGG
rnacentral:rRNA from 1 species